GAUGAACGCUAGCGAUAGGCUUAACACAUGCAAGUCGAGGGGUAACGUGUUGGAAGCUUGCUUCCGAUGACGACGACCGGCGGAUGGGUGCGUAACGCGUAUGCAACUUGCCUCACAGUGGAGAAUAACCCGGAGAAAUCCGGACUAAUACUCCAUACACUCUUAAGUACGCCUGUACAUGAGAGGAAAGAUUUAUCGCUGUGAGAUAGGCAUGCGUCCUAUUAGGUAGUUGGUGAGGUAACGGCUCACCAAGCCGACGAUAGGUAGGGGUGCUGAGAGGCAGAUCCCCCACAUUGGGACUGAGACACGGCCCAAACUCCGACGGGAGGCAGCAGUGAGGAAUAUUGGUCAAUGGAGGAAACUCUGAACCAGCCAAGUCGCGUGAAGGAAGAAUGUCCUAAGGAUUGUAAACUUCUUUAGCGAGCGAGUAAGGACUUCCACGUGAUGGGAGUUUGAAAGUAGCUCGAGAAUAAGUAUCGGCUAACUCCGUG
rnacentral:rRNA from 1 species